AUGGGAACAGAAGUGAGAGGCUGGGAUUCAGAUCCUGAACUAUCACCUGAUCUUUUUUUUUUUUUGGGGGGGGGGGGGGGGGGUGGUACAUCAAACCAGAAGAAAGUCACCAAAGUGUCUCCUAAAAAAAGUGAAUCAAUGCUCUGUCUUUGUGAAGCUGAUGCCUCCAUCAGAGCGGCUGUCCUCCUUCAGGGUCCCACUCUUCCUCCUCUUCUUCAGGUUCAUCCUUUGCUGCUUGCUGAGAGGGCGGAGACUUGCACCGUGUGGUUGCUGCGAUACACCCUGCAUGUGACCUCAGCCCCGCAUCGCCCCGCCCACAAAGAUGGUGCAGACAGGCGGCUGCGCAGACAGAGCAUGCCCAGUGGUCCAGUCACGGACACGCCCACCGCCAGAGUGACAGGUUUUCUGUCCCACAGACUGAAGCAGUCCCUGCGGCGGACCCGCUCUCAGCCCAAACUGUCCCGGCACAGAAGCCUGAAGACUGAGCCCAUCAGCAGCACCGACACCAGGUAACUCCUGCUCAGGAGGAGCACAGAGCCUCCUCAGCCCCUCCAUUGUGAUGGAUGACCAUGCCUGUUGUUCUGACAAACCUGUUGGACUUGAACACCAAGGGCACUCGCUAAAACCACAACCUGGGCCAGCCUUUGGGUCUGGUUGGGGCCUGGUGCUUUGGGGUGGAACCCCUCUGAACCCCCUUGUUCUUUGCUCUGUGGGGGUGCUGUGUCUGCAGCAGCCCCACCAACACGAACACCGGGCCCCCAAAGGCUCCGAGCUGCAGCUCUGGGGGACUUCCUCCAGGGGAGGGGCUGAACAAGGACACGAGGAGCGUGAAAAGGAGAUGAGGGGAGGAAGUAGGGCAGCUUCACUGCAGGGGAGGGGGGACUGCUGACAGAGGGGGAGAGAGAGACAGAGACGGAGAGAGCCGAGCCUGCGAUGCUUUGUAGCAUCCGCUAGCAGACAGACGGACAGACGGAGGGACAGACAGGUCCUCAGCCCUUCCAACAAACAGCAUCAGGAUUAGCAGCUUCUCCAUCUUUCUCCUCCUCCUGCUCCUGUUUGCAGCUGAGGGAGGACAUGGCUUCAUAACCCCCCUCUCCUCUCCUCCUCCUCCUCACUCAGAAUGCUCGGUUAGUAUCUCUGGUCUCUGGCUCUCAUUAGGCGUCUUUGUCAUCUGAAGUCUAUGCUGCAGUGUGUGUGUUUGUGUGUGUGUGUGAUGGGGGUGCAUACACGGUGGCGUCCUCCACCUUAUUUGCAUGUCCAUGCAUGCUGCGUUUCUCUGAGCGUCGUGUGUGUGUGUGCGUGUGUGUGUGUGUGUGUUAUCCAGGCUGCAGUCUGCACACAGCUAUCCUCCUCUGUUAGCAUGUAGCUACGCUGGACACACAGUUAGCCAGGAUGUUAACGUGAUCACAACCUGAUCACACACACACAUACACUGUUAGCAUGAAGGAGCUUGUUUAAAUGGAGAGGAGGUGAUGAGCUGACAUCAGGGGUUGUGUUGGGUUUGCAGGUUCUGGUUCUGUGUGACAGUAGGAAGGCUCCAGACCUGUCACGGGCCAGAACCCAGCCUGGAUCAAACCGAUCCGCUUCCUUCUGUUUCUGCUGGCUGCAGUUUUCCUGAUGGUUUCUCACGUCUGUCUGCUGCUGCCAUGUGUCACAGGAACGACAAGAAUCUCCUCACGGUGGCUGAAUGCCUCCUCAUCUGCCUUUUGUGUUGCUGAAGCGGUCAGAAGAUCUCUCUGCGAACCUUCGUGUCUGUGUGCUGGAACUCGGCUUCCAUUCCGGCUUCAGCCGGACUCAUGUUCCUGUGGCAAAACUGAGGAAAAGCAGCACAGAGUCCAUCAGAAACCUGGUGAUAAGCAGGAUGAAGAUGGCCUCCAGUGAUAGUCCUGGUUUUUAUCUGGACUGAAAAGGACAUCAGCUGAAAAACUGGUUCUCCGUUUGGAGUAAAGCCGUGGUGUCAGCUUGCAGGUGAACAUCUGCCUCAUUUGUGACCAAGAUCCGUGCUGGUCUUUGAAGGACUGAGUUUCCUGUUAGCUUUACAUUCCCUAAGCUGAAUCCUGAAUCCAGACUCAGACCCUGAAAGCAGCUGCAUCAACACCAGUUAGCAUUAGCUCGUUGUGUCUGAGGUUUUCUAGUGACGAGCGUUGGACAGACGAUCCGCACGGACACGGUGAGGGAACUUCAGUCUUUAAAAAGGGAGUUUGAUUUAGGUUUUCACAACCAUACUGCUGGCUUCCUUUAACUUAUUCACACCUAACUUAGUUUAUUAGUAACAAGUGGCUACGGUCUCAAUGUUCUAACCCGGGCGGUCAUCAGAACCUCUGGGUUCAUUUUUUUUUUGAAAGGUCUCUGGCAUCAAAAGUCCAAUUUAAUGCAGCUUUUGUUGCUGGCUGAACUCCUCUGUAAAUUGUUUUUCGAUAUUCCCCCCAAUGUGUUGCUCUGGUGCUUAUCCCCACAUUUAGGACUCUGGAUGGACAGAUAAUGAACCAGAAUAAAACCUGGAAACAAUAUUAGCUGGAUGGCCCUGAGCCGCUCUGCUCCUCUGAGUAAGAGCUGCUGGAGCACACCAAAGAGGAGAACUGCUUAUGUCAUUGUUGAUGCAUUCAUGAAGGUUAAAACUAGGAUCCUAAAAUACAACUAUAGGAAGAUCUGGUUUCCUUCCAGAGUGCACGAUAACCUGAAGUGAAGAGAAUGUGCUCACUGCAAAGUGAAAGACGGCCUGAGCAAGGCAGCAUCUGCUGACUCGUCAGAUUGGAGCCGGGUUCAUCAUUGUUUCCAACAAAUAGAGUUAUAAUUUUAGUUUUAACUGCAGAUUAGUUGGUUUCAACUGUGUUGGCGUUUACACUGCAAGUUCUUUUCAGCAUAUCAGUCUGUAGGGAUCCACCACUUCAAAGGUCGUCUGACACAAAAGAAUCUGAAGCCAGGUCAGUUCACCAAGUGACCACUAUUUGGAAAAUUACACCAGUAAGAAAAUUCCCAUUUACUGCAAUCAAACACGUACUUCAAGUCGGGCACAAACGUGAUGUGUUUAAUGUAUUUUUUUUAUAUCCAAGCUGGGGUCCUCUACCAGAGGCCUGGGAGCUUGAGGGUCCUGCAGUAUCUUAGCUGUUCCUGUUCUUUUCUGGACUGAGAGGUCUGAGGUCUUUCCAGGUAUCUGUUGUAGCCACUCCUCCAGCUUGGGGGUUACUGCCCCCAGUGCUCCAAUUACCACAGGCACCACUGUCACCUUCACUUUCCAGGCUUUCUCCAGUUCUUCUCUGAGUCCCUGGUAUUUCUCCAGUUUCUCAUGUUCCUUCUUCCUGAUGUUCCCAUCGCUUGGCACUGCCACAUCCACCACAACGGCUUUCCUCUGUUCUUUAUCCACCACUACAAUGUCUGGUUGGUUCUCCAUUACCAUCCUAUCAGUCUGGAUCUGGAAGUCCCACAGGAUCUUUGCCCUCUCAUUCUCUAUCACCUUCGGGGGUGUUUCCCAUUUUGACCUUGGGGUUUCCAGUCCAUAUUCUGCACACAUGUGGCGCUCCAUGUAUGCUUUACCUGCCAGCAUCUUACAUCCUGCAGUUAUGUGCUGGAUUGUUUCAGGCGCCUCUCUGCACAGCCUACACCUUGGGUCUUGUCUGGUGUGGUAGAUCUACACCUUGGGUCUUGUCUGGUGUGGUAGAUUUACACUAUCACAAUAUCAGCCACAGUUACAGGGGGCUGGAUUUCGAAUGGAACCCUCAAUGUAUGAUGUGUCAGCUGCUCCCCAAUGCCCCCCUGUACCCCUGUAGCUCCUCCCCUUUUGCCUGGAAAUUGUUCUUGCCAUUGGGGUGGCUUCUCAGGACUUGCCUCACUCGUUGGAGGUAUUUAGCUGUUGCAGCUUUCCUUGUUGCCUGCUCCAGGUUGCUAUUUUCCUGCGGAAUUCCAAGGUACUUGUAACUGUCCUGGAUGUCUGCUAUUGUUCCUUCUGGGAGUGAGACCCUCCU
rnacentral:lncRNA from 1 species